rnacentral:tRNA from 1 species
GGCGUGGUGGCAGAGUGGUUAAUGCGUAUGACUCGAACGAUCAAGACGCUUGUAAUCAUAUUCCUUCGGGUUAGUCCCUGCCUCAACGAAGUCAUUAGUUCUUCACUAAUUUUCAACAGGAGCGCAGGUUCGAAUCCUGCCUACGUCG